rnacentral:rRNA from 1 species
GAUGAACGCUAGCUACAGGCUUAACACAUGCAAGUCGAGGGGAAGCGGCAUUGAGUGCUUGCACUCUUUGGACGUCGACCGGCGCACGGGUGAGUAACGCGUAUCCAACCUUCCCAUUACUGUGGGAUAACCUGCCGAAAGGCAGACUAAUACCGCAUAGUCUUCGAUGACGGCAUCAGAUUUGAAGUAAAGAUUUAUCGGUAAUGGAUGGGGAUGCGUCUGAUUAGCUUGUUGGCGGGGUAACGGCCCACCAAGGCUACGAUCAGUAGGGGUUCUGAGAGGAAGGUCCCCCACAUUGGAACUGAGACACGGUCCAAACUCCUACGGGAGGCAGCAGUGAGGAAUAUUGGUCAAUGGACGGAAGCCUGAACCAGCCAAGUAGCGUGCAGGAUGACGGCCCUAUGGGUUGUAAACUGCUUUUGUAUGGGGAUAAAGUUAGGGACGUGUCCCUAUUUGCAGGUACCAUACGAAUAAGGACCGGCUAAUUCCGUGCCAGCAGCCGCGGUAAUACGGAAGGUCCAGGCGUUAUCCGGAUUUAUUGGGUUUAAAGGGAGCGUAGGCUGGAGAUUAAGUGUGUUGUGAAAUGUAGACGCUCAACGUCUGAAUUGCAGCGCAUACUGGUUUCCUUGAGUACGCACAACGUUGGCGGAAUUCGUCGUGUAGCGGUGAAAUGCUUAGAUAUGACGAAGAACUCCGAUUGCGAAGGCAGCUGACGGGAGCGCAACUGACGCUUAAGCUCGAAGGUGCGGGUAUCAAACAGG